AAUCAAAAACGUGAUGAUCAUCUUCUUCAUGAAAGAAAAUUUCAAAUGCCCAUAACUUUUUCGUUUCUCAUCGGAAUUGUGUGAUUCUUGCGGCCACGGAACGAGGAAAGAAUCCUCUACGGAUCUAUGGUUUCAAUUUGAGAUGUUUAAGAGCUUGGAUGGAGCAAUUUUAAUGGUGAAUCAUGAACAUAAACCUUCGGUUUUUAGACUUCAACCAAGAUCGGACGAGCGAUUAUCGACAAGAUUUGAGGCAAAUGGAUCGAGAUGUCGUCAUUCUUAUUUGAAGAUUUUGGAUAGCAAGUGGUGAGUACACUUUAAAUUACUCGCUAAUAUUCAUAAAGCUACGUAUAUUAAUACGAAAAGCUAUAUGAAUAUUUAUAUAUUUGAAAUGUUUGUUUUUAAAAUGUAUA